rnacentral:lncRNA from 1 species
AACUAAUAGUAUGUGAAGCGAGUGAUUAAAAAAUGAAGUUGACUAGAAGGUUCAGCAACUCAAGAGAAGAGUAAAGAAAAUACCAAGACUUGGCCAUGAACAAGAUCUCGGAUGUGAUGUUCUGAAAUUUAUCCUUUAUUGUGUCCGCUUCAUUAUUCAGUAUUACUUGAACAACAGUAGACUUUGGAACAGUUGUGACAUGUUGGUAUUAUAAAAGCAAACAAUAGAAGACCUUUGAUCCAAGGAGCUCAUAGAAUGGUAGGCUA